CCUACGGGUGGCUGCAGUGGGGAAUAUUGGGCAAUGGGCGCAAGCCUGACCCAGCAACGCCGCGUGAAGGAAGAAGGCUCUCUGGUUGUAAACUUCUUUUGACAGGGGAGCGCAGAAGACGGUACCUGUCGAAUAAGCCACGGCUAACUACGUGCCAGCAGCGGCGGUAAUACGUAGGUGGCAAGCGUUGUCCGGAUUUACUGGGUGUAAAGGGCGUGUAGCCGGGCUGACAAGUCAGAUGUGAAAUCCGGGGGCUCAACCCCCGAACUGCAUUUUAAACUGUGGGUCUUGAGUAUCGGAGAGGCAGGCGGAAUUGCGAGUGUAGCGGUGAAAUGCGUAGAUAUUAGG
rnacentral:rRNA from 1 species